rnacentral:rRNA from 1 species
UACGGAGGGGGCUAGCGUUGCUCGGAAUUACUGGGCGUAAAGGGCGCGUAGGCGGCACUGUUAGUCAGGCGUGAAAGUCCUGGGCUCAACCUGGGAACUGCGCUUGAUACGGCAGAGCUAGAGGAUGGAAGAGGGUCGCGGAAUUCCCAGUGUAGAGGUGAAAUUCGUAGAUAUUGGGAAGAACACCGGUGGCGAAGGCGGCGACCUGGUCCAUUACUGACGCUGAGGCGCGACAGCGUGGGGAGCGAACAGG